rnacentral:rRNA from 1 species
AUUGAACGCUGGCGGAAUGCCUAACACAUGCAAGUCGAGCGAGGUGUAGCAAUACAUCUAGCGGCGGACGGGUGAGGAACACAUAGGAAUCUACCUUUUAGUGGGGGAUAACCCGGGGAAACUCGGAUUAAUACCGCAUACGAUCUACGGAUGAAAGUGGGGGACCGCAAGGCCUCACGCUGUUAGAUGAGCCUAUGUCCGAUUAGCUAGUUGGUAGGGUAAUGGCCUACCAAGGCGACGAUCGGUAGCUGGUUUGAGAGAACGAUCAGCCACACUGGAACUGAGACACGGUCCAGACUCCUACGGGAGGCAGCAGGUGGGGAAUAUUGGACAAUGGGCGCAAGCCUGAUCCAGCAAUUCCGCGUGGGUGAAGAAGGCCUU